AUGCAAGUCGAGCGCGAUCUUCGGGUUGAGCGGCGGACGGGUUAGUAACGCGUGGGAAUAUGCCCAAAGGUACGGAAUAGCCUCUGGAAACGGAGAGUAAUACCGUAUGUGCCCUUCGGGGGAAAGAUUUAUCGCCUUUGGAUUAGCCCGCGUUAGAUUAGGUAGUUGGUGGGGUAAUGGCCUACCAAGCCUACGAUCUAUAGCUGGUUUUAGAGGAUGAUCAGCAACACUGGGACUGAGACACGGCCCAGACUCCUACGGGAGGCAGCAGUGGGGAAUCUUGGACAAUGGGCGCAAGCCUGAUCCAGCCAUGCCGCGUGAGUGAUGAAGGCCUUAGGGUCGUAAAGCUCUUUCGCCAGGGAUGGUAAUGACAGUACCUGGUAAAGAAACCCCGGCUAACUCCGUGCCAGCAGCCGCGGUAAUACGGAGGGGGUUAGCGUUGUUCGGAAUUACUGGGCGUAAAGCGCGCGUAGGCGGAUCGGAAAGUUGGGGGUGA
rnacentral:rRNA from 1 species